AGGCUUAACAAUGAAGCUGUUUCACCUAGGCGCUGUCAGUUUGCUUGUUGCGAGCAUCUUAACGACCGCCUCCGCAUACUACUGGAAACCACCGAAGGGUCCUGAUAUUUUUUCGAUCCUGAUUUUCCUGUUCGUGUUUAUUAUCGUCAUUCGAGUUUUGUUCCCUGAUAAUGGCAAGAAAGGCGUCAAUUCAUAUCGGUAAACACUCAAGUUUUGGAGUGAAAGGCCAUUCACCAAUUUAGCUGAUGAUAUAAACUGUUUGUACAGAAUGUAUCAAUAAAGCAUUAUACCGAAACGUGGUGUCAUGCAUUUGUUUCAUUUUAUGUUUGAUUGUGUAUAAGAGAAAGAUGUCAUUCAAUUAAAUGUUUAAUGGACAGUGAAAAUAAGAGUGAU